GUCCCUUUUGGGACAUCCGAAAAAAGCUCAAACGAUACAUAGUAGAGUAGCAUGGCCCCUAUGCAAAGAUGACAUCCAAAUCAAGAAAUGGUCUAAAUCUCC